GGACGGUGGGCCGGAGGCCGGUCAGCUGGCUUUCGAGGCCAGCGCGGUGGACGCGGCCGAGACGCUGUUCGAUGUGGUGGCGAUUCC
rnacentral:tRNA from 1 species